GACCUCAGUUCAGGUGAGAUUACCGGCUGAAUUUAAGCAUAUUACUAAGCCGAGGAAAAGAAACUAACAAGGAUUCCCCUAGUAGCAGCGAGCGAACAGGGAAGAGCCCAGCGCUGAAUCCCCCGGGCCUCGCUCGGCGGGAAAUGUAGCGUUUGGGAGGGCCCGUCAACACGGCGACUCGCUCACUGGUUCAAGUCCAACUUGAAUGGGGCCACACAGAGGGUGACAGGCCCGUAGAGCAGGAGCGGUUGUCGUGUGGGUCUCUCCUUAGAGUCGGUUUGCUUGAGAGUGCAGACUUAAGUGGGUGGUAAACUCCAUCUAAGGCUAAAUAUGACCACGAGACCGAUAGCACACAAGUACCGUGAGGGAAAAGGUGAAAAGAACUUUGAAGAGAGAGUUCAAGAGUAAGAGAAACUGAAGUGGUGUAAACGGACGAGUUCGAAAAGUCCGAAUGGUGAGAUUCAAGCUUACCGUGCCGGUGGCCCUCGGGUUCAGAUGGCGUCGUCAGCUCGGGCUUCGGUUCGGGUCAUACGGCGUCACUCGUCCUGGGGGUAUCUGUCUGGUGCGGUGGGCUGCACUUCUCGCCUAGUAGGACGUCGCGACCCGUUGGGAUGUUCCGUUCACUGGCCCUCGGUGGAGCCCGCGCCGGAGCGUGGCCUUGUGCCGCGUUGCUGUUUGCACGGACCCGGGGUGACCUGAUCGGCGCCCGACGGUAUCAAAGCUUGGGAAGAGGCCGCACAGAGGAUGCGUUCGAUGGCCGUUUCGGCCUACACUCGGACAGG
rnacentral:rRNA from 1 species